CGUAGGUGAACCUGCGGAAGGAUCAUUAAUGAAUUCACUAUGGAGUUGUUGCUGGCCUCUAGGGGCAUGUGCACGCUUCACUAGUCUUUCAACCACCUGUGAACUUUUGAUAGAUCUGUGAAGUCGUCCUUCAAGUCGUCAGACUUGGUUUGCUGGGAUUUAAACGUCUCGGUGUGACAACGCAGUCUAUUUACUUAACACACCCCAAAUGUAUGUCUACGAAUGUCAUUUAAUGGGCCUUGUGCCUAUAAACCAUAAUACAACUUUCAACAACGGAUCUCUUGGCUCUCGCAUCGAUGAAGAACGCAGCGAAAUGCGAUAAGUAAUGUGAAUUGCAGAAUUCAGUGAAUCAUCGAAUCUUUGAACGCACCUUGCGCCCCUUGGUAUUCCGAGGGGCAUGCCUGUUUGAGUGUCAUUAAAUUCUCAAACUCACAUUUAUUUGUGAUGUUUGGAUUGUUGGGGGUUGCUGGCUGUAACAAGUCGGCUCCUCUUAAAUGCAUUAGCAGGACUUCUCAUUGCCUCUGCGCAUGAUGUGAUAAUUAUCACUCAUCAAUAGCACGCAUGAAUAGAGUCCAGCUCUCUAAUCGUCCGCAAGGACAAUUUGACAAUUUGACCUCAAAUCAGGUAGGACUACCCGCUGAACUUAAGCAUAUCAAUAAGCGGAGGAAAAGAAACUAACAAGGAUUCCCCUAGUAA
rnacentral:rRNA from 1 species